CCAUCUCAUCCUCUCUCUCCAUCUCUUCCUCUCUCUCUGUGUUUUUCCCCAAUAGAUUUUUACAGAUUCCAUUUGACAAGCAAAACUAAAUGGAAAUUUUUCUAAAUCAAAUUUACGUUGUAGCAUUUUUUCUAUACGAGGAUUUUGUCGGUUUUUUUUGGGUUAGUCAUGGCUUGCGGAGCAAAACAACAGAUUUUAAUCACCUUAAUUAGUUUACGGUUGCGAUUUCGCAAAAACGAAACAAAGUGAAACCGAAAAAUGUAGACCAAAAAUAAGGGCGAAAAAAGAAACUUCCGAGAAGUCGGGGAUUCGAAUACUCUUUGUUUUGGGUUUCUGCCAUUCGUUUUUAUGAGCUAUUUGGAACCUUUAUCCAACUUUUCCUUAAAAUUGUGGACGCUAUUCCGAUGACAUCUGUAUGGAUCUUGGACACCUAUGGAACCAUUUGAAUGAACCGUUCAAUGCUAAAUUCUGCAAAAAUGAUUUCUACGAGGAACAACGAAUUUUCCGUACAACGAAUUCCCCUUGAGAUUCGCUAUAUGUGAAAACUAGUGAUUAGAAUAGUUCCAAGAAAUAUGCAUGAAUAAAAUGCAUCAAAAUUCAGAAACUCUACCCGUUUCUGAGUAGUAGUCCCCCUCUAAUGGGAUUUCUUGCGGACUUGUGCAAGUUAAUGCAUAACUUUCUUUGGCUUUGCUUGGAAAAGAUGUGGCGCAAAAAAUAUGAGAAAAUAAUUGCACACUUUUGGAGCAGCAGAGAACGGAUGUCACGCCCCGGACCAUGGAAAUUAAGUGAAAAAUUACAAGGCAACAAAUAAUUAUACACUUCUCUCCUCUGCACUUGAGGCUGUCGCUGUCCCCUGUACACACCCGUAGAAUAUAUAGUAUA
rnacentral:sRNA from 1 species